ACGAUGUUCCGCUGCUAUGAACGAUAAACAUAAGCAUGAGCAUCUG
rfam:Anoxybacillus sp. BCO1 LR68_contig000002, whole genome shotgun sequence.